UUCAGGUUAUGCUUCAUAGUUACCAUAUGUUUGUAUUGUUCGCAUAUACGUAUCUAUAUUCAAAACGGGAGCAGCUUGGAAUGUUGCGUGUCAUGUUGUUCAUUGAUCAUUUAGCAAUGGGUCUGCACCAGCACUGUUAACGAGUCUUUUCUGUUUCCAUACAUGAUGAUUUAUCAGUCGUGCACUGAUAGGAAAUGUCUGGAGGACGUUUCGUAACACGUGACCUACAUGCACACAACGACGCCAUUCGUGAAUAUGCACACAAGAAACGUGGAAUAUCUGGCAAUAUGCCUCCACCUGUGGCUUGCUAUUUCCUAUUCAGCAAUCCCCACAAAGGAUAUGGGAAAUGUACAAACGUGUGAAGGAAAAACAGAAUAUUUUCCCUAGAUCAAUGAUACUCAAAAUCUUCGAAAAGUUCGAUAUGAUUUUAAAAACAAAAAUAUUGCAAAUUCAUUCCGUCCAAAUUUCUCAUCGGUGAAAUUCACAGGUGAAACACUGAAAUACCGUCUACGUGUAUUGGAAGAAGACGACAUCGUUGCAUUUCAAAUAGAUAAUGUAACGACGGCAGACAGUGGGGAAUAUAAUAUCAGUUUGACCUAUAUCAACGGGGUCAAGAAGGGACGCAUUGGACGUUUGGACGUGAAAGAAAAUGUCUUAGGGAACUUCAACAUAACAUGUGAAAACGACACAGAGACAGUCGUCUGUACAUGUGGGAAUAAGACUGGCAGCGAUCUGUACACAUGGGUCUUUGAAGGGCAACCAAUAGUGAUACCUGAAAUGACCAGAAACGAAUCCAAACUUGAAUUGGGAGUCUUUCCAAUAAACGGGUCAGUUUUCUGCAAACGCCGUUCCGACUGUAAAACGUCAAAUACCUUCUACUUCAAAUCAGAUCAUGGGCCUACGAUCUCCUUAGCGGGCGAGAACAUCCCUUACGACACUGUGGCAAUCGCUGUAAUUAUUCCUGUCCUCACCAUCGCUAUCGUCGCUGUCACGACAUCCUAGAUCAAGUGAUGCUCCGAAUGGCACCUGCAACCAUGUUGAAACUUCAGCAUGGAUCUAGCCAUUUGUAUUGUACCGUUAAUAUCUGUAGGAGCUUUCUGCAUAUUGUUACCACAGAAUAACAAGUGGUAGUUUACAGCUUACUCUUCGUUAGCUUGUAGUUUAGUGUUGGCGAUAUGUUAACGAUUUUACGAGCGCUUCUAGUACUUCCUACCUCCGGGCACCCCCGACAACCUGAGAGAUGAUGAGGAUGAAUGUAGACAGCGGAGUACCCAUAAUAAAACCACGUGAUGGGUGCUACUAGGACAGUAUGUGUUAUCUGGGGGAGUGGGUUGUCAUUGGUUGAAGGAAACAUCGUAAAAUCGAUGUAAUUUGAGUCAGCUGCUUUGUAGGAGAGUAUGAUUGAUAUCUUUAUUUGUUGUUGAGUUUUGAGGUUAUUUCACAGUAUUGUAGUAAAGGAUAGUUAUUAAAGGCAAAGGUAACCGUGAAUAUGUUCCAUUUAUCAUUUAAGUUUUAGAGGAACCUAACUCUUCUCUUCUAUACUUUCAUUUUGAUUCCAACUUCCACUGAAACAGUGCUAACCUACCCUGAUACAUAUGUCCUGAAAAGUAGCUUUGUGGUUUUGCCAGAUUGUUUCAAGACAAUUGAGUAUGUGAAGUUUUACAGUCAUCAUGUUAUCAAAACAUUUUAAUGUUUGUGUGUGAUCGCAUUUAUUUUUACCUGGGUGUAUA